AUUGAACGCUGGCGGCAUGCCUAACACAUGCAAGUCGAACGGCAGCACAGUAUGUAGCAAUACAUAUGGGUGGCGAGUGGCGGACGGGUGAGUAACGCGUGGGAAUCUGCCCUAUAGUGGGGGACAACCCGACGAAAGUCGGGCUAAUACCGCAUACGCCCUACGGGGGAAAGGCUUCGGCCGCUAUUGGAUGAGCCCGCGUCGGAUUAGCUAGUUGGUGAGGUAAUGGCUCACCAAGGCGACGAUCCGUAGCUGGUCUGAGAGGACGAUCAGCCACACUGGGACUGAGACACGGCCCAGACUCCUACGGGAGGCAGCAGUGGGGAAUAUUGCACAAUGGGCAAAGCCUGAUGCAGCAAUGCCGCGUGUGUGAAGAAGGCCUGCGGGUUGUAAAGCACUUUCGGUAGGGAAGAUAAUGACGGUACCUACAGAAGAAGCACCGGCUAACUCCGUG
rnacentral:rRNA from 1 species